rnacentral:sRNA from 1 species
UUACUCUUUAACACUCAUGCUGAAGUUCUGAUAUUUUGUUGAAAUCCAUUGUUUUACUCUUUGCAUAUUUGUUGGCUCUUUGCAUAUUAAUAUAUUAGACUACAUGCAAAUACAGUCUGUCUUGCCAUUGUCUGUUGAAGUGCAGGUUUGAUCCAGCCAGUAUAGAACUAGCUCUGUAGGGGUGAGGAGGACUGUGCUGUGUAUCAUCCUUGAUUGUGUUCCUUCAAGGAGCAUUGCACUUGCCUUCCCAGACCUUCCACCUUAGGUUCUGCUGCAAAAAGCACCAGUGCUGAAGAUGCUGCAAGCACCAAAUCAUAGCUCAUAAAAUCAGGUCCUGAGAUAGUUACCCAUAAAGAGGAAUCCUUUGAGUGUAUGCCAUUGGUGAGCCGAUGAGCAUGGACCAUAGAAGGGCUCAAUGUAGAAGAAACUACCCGUGUGUAAAAAGAAGAUUGGCUUAAAAUGGCUACUGUGAUGGGAACAGUGUCUUAGGGAGAUGCAGCUUGGACUUGAGGUAAAUUGAAUACUUUACAAACUGUGGUUUAGAGUUUGCUUUAAUGACAUUGUAUGUAAAAGGUCACAUGAUUGCUGUAAUUUUGUAUUCAUUAUGGUUUCCUCAAUAAAUGUACAUUGAUGAAUAUUA